GCUGGAAUGGCCGAGUCGUUAAGGCGAGUGAUUUGAAUCAUUCUCUUGCUUAUUUAGGCAUUUAAACAUCACUUGGUGUUUCACCGCGUAGGUUCAAAUCCUGCUUCCAGCG